CUAUACGGCAUCUCACUAAAGACUCACUCUCUUCAUCUCUCCUCCCAGAAUUCUUCUUGCCUGGCUACAUGCUGCCUGUCCAUUGGCUGAAACAGCUUUAUCCAUCAACCAAAAAGAAAACAUAUGUUCACAGCAUACAGAAGGACAUCCCCUAUCAGACAGAAGCCCCGUUGGUUGUUCCACCUCUGAUGAGAGCUAAGCCAGGACUGAAGUUUAUGUGAAGGCAUCGAUUCGGCUAUCAGAAUCUGUGAUCAUACACUUUUUAAAAACUAAACCAAAUUAAAUUAAUCUUUGUUGAAAAAUAAAUGAUGUAAUUCCUAGAGGAGUCCAUUUUAUUCACAGAAUGGUGGCCUGUUUCUUCUAAGUGGCUUGCAAGACAGCAAUGUCUGAAAUGGUUCUUAAAAAAGAAAUAGGAAACUGCCUUGAGUGUGGCAGGUGUCUAGAAGGAACCACAACCUGUGAGUGAUUUGUGAUCUGAGGGAUCAUCAUUAUAAGACUAAAUUAUAUGUGCAAUCUUACCAAGACCACAUUCAAAGGUGGAAUUCAAGAAUUUACUAAGAUCUUAUCCCUUCAAGGACUUCUCAAAUGAGCCUAGGCAAUGUUAGCAACCAUUCAUCUGGCUGAAAAUCACUGUGCAUCUUCUAACUUUUCUUGGAAUAGAUUCCUUAUGUAGACACAAUGUGAGCUGAAUUGCAUCUGGUUAAUGUUUUUGGAGAAUUUUGUUGAAAUAAAAACUUGAGUCUGUGUA